GUAACUCUUUAAGUUACAUUUUCAACGCACUUUGAAUCACCUCAAUUGGAUGCCAGGAGAUAAAGUUAUGACAAAAAUAUUGAAAGCAGAGCGGAGAACAUAACUAGUAAAACGACGCGUGCGAGAUCACAAAUUUCAUGACCCGAGAGCCAUAUGGUUCAAUGGCACACAUGGUGGGCCUACCUGUGCAGCGCACAGGCUUUUUCCAUAGAUGAAUCAACAAUUUCCUUUAAUGAUUCAAACUCUUUUGGAUCCUAAUUGGACGUAAUUUUAACCUAUUUUCUUGCUCUUGUAGAUAGAAAACAAGGGUUGACAUAUCCGUUCGAAUAUGAAGAUAUCUAUAUUUGAUGAACCAACCUCCAAGGCAUUAAAAUAGUGGCACAUAGCAGCGAAAAAAAAGCAAGGAGGGAAAGGAGGAAGAUCCCCAAGAAUGUUGGGUAGUGGAAGUCCAACUUCUUCAAUGGGUUCACUUGGGCCUACACUUCAUCGUCUUGAAACUACAGUUUUCCCAAGGUAUGAGGAAUACGAAGGAUCAUCGGACCUUGAGGCGGACCCAUGUAUGGAAAAAACUUCUAGUUGCAUAGUAAGAGUUGAACAUGAUUGUCGCAGAAAUCCCUCAAGAAAUUUUUAAUUUUGGACUCAAAAAAAACCAAAUGAACACCACUCGAUCUCAGCUCAACCCAAAACUUUACCUUUACUUUUGGUUGCUCCAAGUUCUCUCAAACCACACAAAGAGGAAUGGAUGGUGGUGGUACUUGCAAGAAUAGUAAGAAUAAGCAACAAUGGUGAAAAUCUCUUUCACCCUUUCUCCCCCAAGCCGGUUGCCCUCCCUUUCUCUCAUUUUCUCUCUUGCAUUACAC
rnacentral:lncRNA from 1 species